UACGGAGGGAGCUAGCGUUGUUCGGAAUUACUGGGCGUAAAGCGCACGUAGGCGGCUUUGUAAGUUAGAGGUGAAAGCCCGGGGCUCAACCCCGGAAUUGCCUUUAAGACUGCAUCGCUUGAAUCCAGGAGAGGUGAGUGGAAUUCCGAGUGUAGAGGUGAAAUUCGUAGAUAUUCGGAAGAACACCAGUGGCGAAGGCGGCUCACUGGACUGGUAUUGACGCUGAGGUGGCGAAAGCGUGGGGAGCAAACUACGG
rnacentral:rRNA from 1 species